GCGCCUCAAUCGAUGUGUCCCUGAGGCGCGUAGCUGGGGCGUGGGCGGCGCUUGGUGUCCCAGGUUGCUACACUCCCGAAGUGAAUGGAUUUAUCGCUGUUAGGGCCUUUUUGUUUAGGGCCUAACAAAUAUUGUUAGUUUUGCCGAGAGCUGGCGCCGAGCCCUGCCCUCGUGGUGGGCCGUACCCACGCCCCCUGAGCGCGGAGUCGCGUGGCUCCGGAGUUUUGUUUUUUUGAAAGGAGUCUCCCAAUUGUCCGUGGAGUUUUUUUUGCGGCACAUGGAGUCUCUGCCUUCGCGACCCAGACCUUUGAUGUGAACACCUGCUCCCGUUACGCUCGGGUCCAGCGUCCGGGGCGGGGCUCGAGGCCGGGUGGAGGAGGGGUGGGGGCGGGGGUCUUGGUCUUGGGUGAGACCUGCAGAUACGGUCGGGCUGAAGGAGUAGAACUGGCUUCUAAAUGCCGGAAAAUCCGAAGGAACUGACUGCAGAAGGCACGUUUCCAAUUUUCGCGUGUUUUAAGUGCACCCUCCCGCCACCUCUCCUCUGGACAUCCCUCAUCCUUUUGAAGAUUGCCACACCUGGGCCCCUCCUAGAGUCUCCUCUUUGGAGGAUUCCUCACCUCCGAGAGAAUGCUUAGGAACCCACCUGAAUGAUUCCAAGUUAAGAGGAAUUUCUAGGUUUUGAUCUCUGUCAAUAAGAUGCACUCCAGGAAGAGAGUUACAGUCCUCUCCCACACUGGAUAUUGGAUAUCAUUUUCUUCCAUCUCUCUAAAGGGGAAUAAGACCUUUCUCACAAAGUUAUUGUGAAGUUCAAGUGAAGUGAGGACAAAGUGCUACACAAAAGUCCUGCCCUUUUGUCUCAGGAUAAUAUAUUUUGCAAGUCCUAUUGAGGUGGGAAGUUAAAGAAAAAAUUAAAAAGAGAAGUAAGUUUUCCUGUAUUAGGCUGACUUGUUCCAGAGGCAGCAAUGGGCACAGCCCAGACCCAGGGAAAGUCUUGAUAAUACUAUCUAAGGAGCCAGGACACAAAGGAAUGUGCUCUGGAGACUCUCCCAGCACUCCCUCCACAUAGGGAGAAGAAAAACAAAUUUUCCUUUGUUUUAUGGUAUGAGUUUAUGAAAAUUCCUGUUCUCUGUAACUGGUGACUUCAGGUAUUCUGUUUUAUCUAAGCAGUAGAGUGAAGGUCAUAAACUGUCUGAGCAGGCCACCUGGACGCUAUAGUGAAGGUCAUGGAAUAAGCCGUGCUAGGCACUAGGCAAACCUAGAUAAUGGACAUCUGGGUUGCAUAGCAAUGGUCAUGUGUAAUCCUGAGUUAUGAACCUGUUACAGUUUAAUUAACUGUCUUUGUCCUGCCUCUGUAUCCCUGCUUUCAUGCCACUGUAAGCCGGCUUCAGGCUGGUCCACACCCCUUUUUGAGGUGUGUAUAAAAGUCAAGUGCUGUCUUUGUUCUGGGCCCGGUCUUUGGAUGUUAAGUCUGCUGGGUCUGAGUGCACUCAAU
rnacentral:lncRNA from 10 species